AUGAACGCUAGCGGCAGGCUUAAUACAUGCAAGUCGUGGGGCAGCAUGAGUAGCAAUACUUGAUGGCGACCGGCAAACGGGUGAGGAACACGUACACAACCUUCCUUCAAGCGGGGAAUAGCCCAGAGAAAUUUGGAUUAAUACCCAUAAUAUAUUUGAUAAGGCAUCUUAUUAAUAUUAAAGCUUCGGCACUUGAUGAUGGGUGUGCGGCUGAUUAGAUAGUUGGCGGGGUAACGGCCCACCAAGUCUACGAUCAGUAGCUGAUGUGAGAGCAUGAUCAGCCACACGGGCACUGAGACACGGGCCCGACUCCUACGGGAGGCAGCAGUAAGGAAUAUUGGACAAUGGACGAAAGUCUGAUCCAGCCAUGCCGCGUGAAGGAUUAAGGUCCUCUGGAUUGUAAACUUCUUUUAUAUGGGACGAAAAAGGGCAUUCUUGUUCACUUGACGGUACCAUAUGAAUAAGCACCGGCUAACUCCGUG
rnacentral:rRNA from 1 species